rnacentral:rRNA from 1 species
GGGGGGGGGCAAGCGUUGUUCGGGAAUUACUGGGCGUAAAGGGCGCGUAGGCGGACGAGACAGUCUCUCGUGAAAUCCCACGGGCUCAACCGUGGAACUGCGGGAGAUACUACUCGUCUUGAGUUCGGGAGAGGAGUGUGGAAUUCCCAGUGUAGCGGUGAAAUGCGUAGAUAUUGGGAGGAACACCGGUGGCGAAGGCGGCACUCUGGACCGAUACUGACGCUGAGGCGCGAAAGCUAGGGGAGCAAACGGGAUUAGAUACCCCGGUAGUCCUAGCUGUAAACGAUGAGCACUUGGUGUAGCGGGUAUCGACCCCUGCUGUGCCGGAGUUAACGCAUUAAGUGCUCCGCCUGGGGAGUACGGUCGCAAAGGCUGA